UGAGCAGUAAAUCUCAAAGGACAAGCAGGGAGAGGUUAAUGAACUCAGUGAAACUGAUGAGCUGAAGUGUGGUUAUUUCAAAGCAAGGAAUAUCACGGACAUAGCGGAUGAACUUAAAGUCUGCAUUGGCGCAUGGAACGAUGAUAUUGUGGCCAGUAAGGAGAUUUGAUCGCGAGAGAAACUAAGUUGGCAGCUUAAUGGUCCAGUGUUUAGAUGUUUCGGAUGUAACAGAGAAAGAGGUAAAAGAGGUGGAGGAGUUGAUCACCAAUGAGGUAGAAUGUCUCCUCGGCACUCGGAAAAGCCAUGGUUGAGGCAAUGUGGGUUGAGCUCAAAAAUAAGAAUGAUGCAAUUGCUUCUCAAUAUCUUCCCGGGAAAUAGAGGAGCAGGUAUGUAGACAUGUGGAAAGGUGUAAAAGCAACAGAUUUAUUGUAGUUGGUGACUUUAACUUCCCCAAUAUUGACAGUGAUUUCCUUGCAUCUGGGAUGCAAAAGGCUUGGAUGGGAACUUGUUAGGUGUAACCAAGAGAGUUCUUAAAACAAUAUGUGGAUAGUCCAACUUGAGGAGGGAUCAUACAAGAUCCUGUACGGGGAACCUGGCAAGGUGACUUGUGUUUCAAUGGUAGAGUAUUUUGGGAAUAGUUAUCAUAACCAUAGAUGUUUAGAUAGUUAUGAAUAAGGAUAUGUCUGGACCUUUUGGGAAAGUAUUAAAUUGGAUUAGGGCAGAAUGUAACAUUAUUUGGCAAGUGCUAAGAGAGUAAAUUAGGAGCAGCUGUUAUUGAGUAAGUCCACAUCUGACAUGUGGGAGUUGUUUACGGACCAGCGACCAGCUGAUCUGAGUUCAGGACAGGCUUGUUCCAGUAAAGAUGAGGGAUAAGGAUGGUAAUGUAAGGGGACUGUGGAUGACAAGAGAGGUUCUACGUUUAGUCAAAAAUAAAAGGAAGCAUAUGUAAGGUUGAGGAAGAUGAAAUCAGACAGGGGCUUUGAGGAACAUAGAGCAAGGAGGAAAGAACUCAAGCAGGCAAUCAGAAGUGCCAAAAGGAGCCAUGAAAUGUCAUUGGCAAGUCAGAUUAAAAAAUCCCAAAGCAAAAGCAAUUUUACUUACAUGAAAAACAAGAGGUUAACUAGAAAGAGGGUAAGAUCACUCAAGGAUAAACGAGGGAGUUUAUGCCUGCAGUCAGAGGGUGUAGCUAAGGGGCAAAACACGUACUCUACAUUAUUAUUCACCAAGGAUAAAGAAGGGCAUGGAUGAUGGGUGUGGGGAAGAUUCAUUCAUGAGAACAGUUUGAGAUCAGGAAGCAGAUGGUGCUGGAUCUCUUGACAAGCAUUAAGGUGGAUAAAUCCCCAGGACUUGAUGGGUUUCAUCUCAGGUUAUUGAGAGAGGCAAGAGAAGAGAUUACAGGGACCUUGAUGAAGAUCUUUAAAACCUUUCUAGCCGCAGGGGAUCUGGUAUAUGGUAUGCUUGCCUUUAUCGGUCAAAGCAUUGAGUCUAAGAGUCAGGAAGUCAUGUUGAGACUUUUAAAAACUUUGAUAGGACUAUAUUUGAAGUAUUGUGUGCCAUUUUGGUUAUCCCAUUAGCAUGAAGUUGAUGCAAUAAUGGUGUUUAGGAGGCUUUUCGAUUGGCACAUGUAUCUGCAUGAAAUGGAGGGACAUGUGGGUUGAGGAGAUUUAUUUAACUUGGCAUCAUGUUCAGCGCAGACACUGUGUGCCGAAGGUCCUGUUCCUGUGCUGUACUGUUCAGUUUAAUUACCUGGCUUCAUCAUUGCUGAAAUGUUUUCAAUGUCUGAAUGAUUUACAAUUGUCUUAUUAUCAUGAUCACUUCAGCCUUGAUGUGGUGACAUGUUUGCCUUUGAGCCAUUUGAAUGAGUUGGUUCAAAUCGUUCUCUGGACCUUGGUAACAAGUAAUUAUAUAGGAGGUGUUGCCAUUUGGAUGUGACUUUAAUCUGUCAUCCCAGACACUUAAGUGAUGCAUUGGCAUUAUUGGAAGAAGAAUAGGGUUCUCUAAAUGUCUGGCCAACAUUUAUUCAUACAUGCAGACCACAUUUUACUUGAAGCACAUUGUCUACUAUGGGAGUUGGCAGUGUAGAAAUGUACUCUUGCGUUUGCCUAUCAGAAAAGCAAUAUACUUAAAAAAGUGAUUAACCAGCUGUGAACCACUUUAAAAUGGUUUGAGAUGUAAAAAGUUUUGCUUAAAUUAUACAACAACAAUCAUAUUCUUCUGAAUGCAAGCACGUAAUUGUUACGCAAGGAAUGGAAGGAUAUGGAUUACAUGUAGGCAGUGGAGAUUAGUUUAAAUUGGUAUGUUCAGCAUGGACAUCAUGGGCCAAAAGGCCUGUUGCUGUGAUGUAUAGUUCCACGUGGACACAGGAAACUGCGGCACAAAGUGCUGCAGUAAUCAGCGGGUCAGACAGCAUCUCCAGACAUGGAUAGCAGAUCAGAAACGUCACCUAUUCAUGUGCUCCAGAGAUGCUGCCUGGCCCGCUGAUUACUGCAGCACUUUGUGAUCUGUACUGUUACGUGGUUUCUGUGCUUCUAACAGAAGCAUGUGGAUGUUGCAGAGAUAUACCCCAUUUCCCCAAACAGUCAUUCAAAAUAUGAAAUAUGCUUAUAACCCAAUGGUAUGAACAUUGAAUUAUUUAAUUUUUGGUAGCAUUUCCCUCUCAGGAAUCAAAGCAGUCACCUCUGUGUGGAGCCACUGGAGAUGGGCAAGGUCCUCAAUGAGUAUUUCUCCUCUGUAUUUACCGAGGAGAAAGUCAGUCGGAUGGAGGAACUUGGGGCAUGUCCUCCAGAGAUGCUGCCUGACCCACUGAGAUACUCCAGCAAUUGGAGUUUUUUUUUUGGUAAACCAGCAUCUACAGUUCCUUGUGUCAACAUAUUAAGGUUGUUUUAUUAAUAUAAUGCAUAUUUGACCAGACCCGCCAAAAGGUGUGAAAUUUGAGUUCCUAUGUACUCUCCUUGUUUCCCGAACCUGUCAGUGUUCACUUGAGGCAUCAGACAGAAGGUGUAACACCAUGUCUUCAUGUCCCAUUUGAAUUCAGCAGUGAAUUUGUAGCCCACUUACUGUGGAGCAGAAUAAUGUUCACAUUCUGGAAAAGGAAUGUUGCUCAACAUUUUAAAAAUUGCACCCCACAUUCAGUCAGCCACAGCUGAUUUAGCAAUGGUUUUAAUUUUGGAAUGAGUGCAAGUUAGUGGUUAACAUAUAAGCACAAGGGUAAAAGAAGCAUCCUAAUCAUCUUGAGCUACGAAACUUCACCCGCAGCGACAGCAGCUGGGCUUCACGUUCGAUUUGGAAGGCAACGUUACAAGGACCAGUGGAAACAUCAAUCUAAAAGCCAGGCAAAUGUUGAAUAGAGCACAGGAAAUCUACCGUCUGUUGCAGAAUGCAUGAACCACCAUCUCUUCUGGGACACAACAUGUAGGAGUUGGAAAAUACCAGAAAAACUAGGCUUUAUUCCAAGACACAAACUACUGGGAAGGAAAGAACCAACAUUUCUAUGUAAAAUUAUUUAUAAUACCUUAAAGAGACAUGUGAACACCGAGUGAGUGUGAUAUUUUAUAACAACAAAACAAAAGCUGAGGUUGAGGCCUAGAACGGUCAAUUCUACUGCCAGAUCAUGGAGGUGUCCAUCAUCUCCAUGCAUUUCCCCAGCUACGGUUGGUAAAGUUGUUUCUCUUGGGGCCCAAUGACAGUAGUCAAGCAUCAGACAACUGUGAAUAACCUUCAAUACAACAACAAGCUGAGUUUCUUUAUAACCAUAUACUGGUGGGAACAGAUGGAUAAACAUUUAACAUUUCAACUGCAUGAUGGAGUCCCACUGCACAUGGACAUGUUGGAACAAUGCUGUGGACAGAAAGAAUUUGUGUGGAGUCCAGGGUUCAGUUCACCUUUAGAACAAACUUUUAUUAUAGUCUGAUGAAGAGUCCCCACCUGAAACGUCGCCUAUUCAUAUCUUCCAGGGAUGCUGCUUGAUCUGCUGACUUAUUCCAGCACUUUGUGUGAUAUGCAAGCCAAGGAGUUCCUUGUGUCUACUCGGUGUGCAUGCAACUCAUUGUGUCUACUCUUUAUUGCACGUGGACCAACUUGGAACACAUCUAUCCUUGGUCAGAUGUUUUCACAUCCAAAAUGAUAUUAUUUUUGUAAUAUUCGUUAUCUACUUUCCACCUGCUAUCUCUACCCUCUGUCAUCAGACCUCUGAAGGGUCCUUCAUAAACUAGGGUACAGUCCCUAUUUUCCAAACGACCUCAUUGCGGAAAUUUGACUUUGUCUCUGGAACUGUUACGUUACAAUGUUGAGAAACUAUAUUCUGCACUGGCAUCUUUCUCUUUGCUCUACGUUUUUACUUGUGUUUGGCUUAUAGUUUAUUCAUACAUAAUAAUAUCUGAUUUGACUGGAUAGCACACAAACAGUUUUUCACUGUACCUCAGUAUAUGUGGCAAUAAUAAACCUGAAGUUGUUUUUGCUGCCCAGUGCUCUGGAGUGCCGUAUGCUACAUACGCCAUAUGCAUCCCGUACAAUGAUGAAUUCCUGUCCCAGAAUCUGUGUGUGGUUGCUAUGGAGUAUCCGGGGAUCGGUUCGCUGUUGUUCACUUUUACCUUGCUACUGUUCACUGAGACUGCUAUUAUCCAGUUUCAAUCAAUUUUCAAUGAGGUCUAUUGCCCAACCUUUAGAAUCAUCCCACUUUCUGCCUUAUCACACUGUGUCCCUUUCCAGAUGCUGAGAUCCUCAUAUUGCUUAAGAUAUGGGAGGCUCUUCAGCCCAUCGGGUCUAUGCCGAGGCAGUUAGAAUAUUGAGCAAAAACCCACCAGGUCACAGAGAGAACAUGUAAA